UUGGAGGGCAAGUCUGGUGCCAGCAGCCGCGGUAAUUCCAGCUCCAAUAGCGUAUAUUAAAGUUGUUGCAGUUAAAAAGCUCGUAGUUGAAUUUCGGGAUUCGUCGGUUGGUCGGGCUUCACUGUCCGCACUGACCUGACGGGUUCCUACCUUCUGAAUAACCAGCAUGCUAUUAAGUUAGUGCGUUGGGGAAGCAGAGCUAUUACCUUGAAAAAAUUAGAGUGCUUAAAGCAGGCUUGUGCUUGAAUAGAUUAGCAUGGAAUAAUAAAAUAGGACGGCAUGGUUCUAUUUUGUUGGUUUCUAGGAUCACCGUAAUGAUUAAUAUGGAUAGUUGGGGGCAUUAGUAUUCAAUUGUCAGAGGUGAAACUCUUGGAUUUAUUGAAGACUAACUUCUGCGAAAGCAUUUGCCAAGGAUGUUUUCAUUAAUCAAGAACGAAAGUUAGGGGAUCGAAGACGAUCAGAUACCGUCGUAGUCUUAACCAUAAACUAUGCCGACUAGGGAUCGGACGAUGUUAAUUUUUUAAUGACUCGUUCGGCGCCUUACGGGAAAC
rnacentral:rRNA from 1 species